rnacentral:lncRNA from 1 species
UGAAUUUUAAUGGAUUUUAAUAAAUUUAAUGAAUUUCAAUGAAAUGGGUCAAUUGAGAGAGAUUUUCAAUAAAAUAUUUUUAUCAAGGUUCUAAUAAAUGUUUCUUAAAAUACAAUAUAAUGCAUAUUUACUAUAGUUACAAUUGCGUUGCGUAAUACCAUAAAGAAAUGGAUACAAGAUUUAUAAUUGCGGAGUUUCAAUACGGGCUGCAAUUAAUACCUACAGCAUGGUAUAAUAAAGAUAAUUUAUCAAGCAUAUGGCCUAACCAUUUUAAAACAAAAUACCGCAUUAAUAAGGCUAUUAUGGCAAGAGAAAUGCCAAGAGAAAUAUCUGAUUGGAAGGAGUUAUCUGUUAAAAAAGUCUUCGGCAUUGCAAAUACAUAUGAAGAAGGCAUGGAAAAAUUAGUUCUGGCAGAGGAUAAAUCGAAUGUAGAUGAUACUGCUAUAUCAUCAAAUGAAUUAAAAGCAAGAGAAAAGAAGAGGAGACAUUUAAGAGCACAAAAACGUUUUAUUAUCUUCUGAAAAAGAUAAUUUAUCUUUUUCUGGAGAUAAAGAAAAUAAUAUUCACCAAAAUAAAAUCCUGCUUACUUUUCCGCAAAAAAAGCUUUUUUUUAAAUCAAUUACUGAACACAUCUAAACAAAAUACGAAAAAUAUAUUACGCGAGAAUACUUUGUUUAAUGCAGUAAACAGUGACAAUUUAAAUAAAAACGACAUUAUACAAAUAUAACACAAAAUUUUACUAAUAAUGAACAUUUUGAUAUUGAUGGUAAGUUUUAAAAAUACUAAUAAUUCUUUAUAUGUUAUAUAGAAUGCUCCACGCUGAAAUCAGCAAAUAAAUUGUAGGUCAAUUUAGUUCAGUUACCAAGAUAUAAAUAAUCUUAUUAACUAAAUAAUGAAUAUUGAUUUCAGAUUUUAAAAAGCAAAUUCUAUGGAAACUAAACAAAAUAUUAUAUAAAUUGAAUACUAUUGAAAAUAGAUUAGAUAUAUUAAAACACAUUAAAGAAAGAACAGUCUUCAUCUAAUCAAUCUUGCAAUAUGAUAGAAAUCGGUAAUCUAUUUCCGAUAUGUACAAUUUUUGAUUUAAUAUCUUUUGAAGAACAAUUGGAGGAAAGAAAAUUUCAGGACGAUGUGGUACGUACGACAUAUAUAGAGUGUUCCCAAAUUAGUGUCCACUAUUUACAUAACAUUAUGUAAUUUAAAAUCGAACACAAAAGUCCUGUGUACUAUUAUUUUUUGUACUGCGUAGUAAAGUAAUAAUUGCUAAUUACAAUUUAACCAAUUAGCCAGCUUCGGUUUUUAGACAAAUGGACGUGAGCCACGCUUCUGGUAAUAUAUGAAAGUAGUACAAAGUGCUUACACACACUAUAUUAGGUUUAGAAGUGUUAAUGCAUUUAUUUAAAACAUAACACUGGUAGAUUUAAUUUUUAUCAAUAAUUAUUGCUUUAUUAAACUACAUAGGAAAUAAUGAUACAAGAUUAUUGUUGAUUCAACUUUUCAAGAAGGAUAGCGCUAUGUAAAUUAUAAGCCUAAAAUAUCGGACACUCUAUAUACAUAUCCUAUACAUACAUAUUAAUGCGCGAUAUUAUUUGAAAAAUUGGAAAAUAUUUCUUUCAAUUAAAUUUUCUUAAACUCUUUGGUGGAAGCACUACGUAUAUUAUGAUACAAAAUAUACUUAAAAAAA